GCAGUGGUGGUUGAGUGGUAGAAUUCUCACCUCCAUGCGGGAGACCCACGUUCAAUUCCUGGCCAGUGCA
rnacentral:tRNA from 1 species